CUGGUGGAGCGGAUAGAUGCGUAAUUACAGAAUGUAAAAACGGCGUCGAGAGACGAGCUCAACUUGCCAUGUGUUAUAAUUUCCAUGUGGAUGACGUCACGCAGUCCUUGACGCUCGCGCCGAUGAGAUAACGGGACUGUGACACGCUACGCGUUUCGCAGGCACACUAAAAGCUACACGUGAACAGGUCAUUGGUUUAUAAGGCGUUUUAAAGGGACGUUCGCAGUCCGUUCUCCUCCGUUGUUAAUUACGUAGUAGCCUGCGAGUUGCCCUACUCCUCUUACACAUAUCUGUAUUACAUAAAAGGCAGAGAGCAUCGCAAGGACUACGUCGUCACGAGAAAUGAUUGACCGAUGACGUUGUUUUUCUGAAAUACUGUUACAGUGCAUGCACACGUGGUCACUCAACAGUAAUGUCUACAGAUCGGAGUUACAGCUGCCUCAAAACCGAGGCAAUGACACAAUCACAGUGGCAACCCUGUGUUGGUGCACAGGCAGAGCUGUGACUCUAGCUUUGCAAUCUCCUGACCUCUGUGACCUUUGAGUCGAGAUGGCGACCCACCGAAAGCACCUGGUCCGAGAUUUCAACCGAUACAUCACCUGCUCAAUUUGCCGUGGGUACCUGAUAAAGCCCACUGCUGUCACAGAAUGCCUGCACACUUUUUGUAAGAGUUGUAUUGUUCAGCACUUUGAGGAGAGUAAUGAAUGUCCAGAAUGUGGGAUACAAGUCCAUGAAACCAACCCUUUAGAGAUGCUGAGGCUAGAUAAGACCCUGGAGGAGAUUAUCUUCAAGCUGGUGCCCGGACUAAGAGAGAAGGAGGAACAACAGGAAGUUGAGUUCUGGAGAAAAAAUAAGAUCAAAUCAAAUGGAGAAGAUGGCCCUAGGGCUAAGAAAUCCCGCUUGAGCGAUGAAGAGGAUGAUGAUGGAGGAGGUGGAGACUACCACAGGAGUGAUCCUCAGAUCGCUAUUUGUCUGGAUUGUCUACGAAACAAUGGCCAAUCAGGAGAAAGCAUAGUUAAGGGUUUAAUGAAGAAAUUCAUCCGUUGCUCCACCCGUGUUACGGUGGGGACCAUUAAGAAGUUCCUCUGUGUAAAAUUGAAGCUGCCAAGCUCUUAUGAGCUCGAUGUUUUGUGUAAUGGAGAGAUCAUGGGCAAAGACCACACCCUGGAAUUCAUCUACCGCACUCGCUGGAGACUUCAGGGUGACAGCGUAAGUGUGUAUGUGUGGAUGUCAGUUUUUGCCAAUAUUGCUGGGAAUCAAUGUGGGGGAUGAGAAAUAUAUGCUCAGUGUAAAAACAACAGUUACCACCAUUUUUGAAAACAAUGUGAGUGUUUUUGUAUUGCGACAUUACCUUACUUUAGACUGACCUGCAAGGGGGUGAUAGGAGGUCUGCAAAAAAUUAGCAAAUUUUUUUACGUUAUGGCCUGAUUUCAUACACAGGGCUUAGACUAAAUCAGGAUUAGGCCAUAGUUCGAUUGAGACAUUUAGGCAAUUUUUAUAAAAUUGUCUUAUAAGCAUUACUGGUGUGCAUCUUAAAACAAAACAAAGGCACUGACAUUUUUUAAGAUCAGUCAGUGCAGGUUUCUUUCAGUUGAAACUGCUCUGAUUUACAUUUUAAACUAGGACUAGGCUUAAUCAUUGUCUGUGAAACCCAGGAGAUACAGUCACAUUCAGAAUAUUGAAUCUUGACUGAUAUUACUAAUUUAUUUUAGUUUAUAACUGGUCAUAUAUCAGUUUGUUCUAUUUUAUUCUAUUAAAACAGCAAAAAACAGAAAAACUUACUAAAAUUAGUUUUCCCAGAUAAUAUUUAAAUGCCAGUAUAAAAAGUUGGUUUUCUAAAUGCGUUAUUAACCUUAUUUUAAAGGAUUCUUUCUUGAAUGUUAAAUUUGUAACUUUUUCUGAACUUGUAAUUUUUAAUCAAAACUUGAUCUUGCAAUAAAACAACAGAAUUCCUUCUGGUGAAAUAUACUGAUGUCUACAAAUCAUUUAGUCCAUUUUUUUACAGUCGCUGCAAGCUUGCAUUCAAAUGUGCCUCUGUCUGAUCAAGAACUGAUGUAAUGAACCAAAACCGCACACUUUUCACACAGUAUGAAUGGGGUUUUAGAAAUGACAAUCAUAUUGUAGGAUGGGAGUCAUAAUAAUUGGAUAUCUUUUGGUUUUAAAAAGAAAAGAAAAACUGGAAACCCUUUAAAUGAUUAAAAAGUUAGUUUGACCCUGAUUACGUGGGUGUGUUUGAGUGUGUGUGUGUGUGUGUGAAGAAGUGUGAACAGCUGUCGCUGAGUUGGUGGUGUUUGUGGGGGGCAUGAGCAAAAAAAACUGCUCACAGCUACUGACAGAUCUAUGAGUCAUAUUUCUCCAGUUACACACAGACUAGAAGUUGACACAAAAUCAGAGGACACAUUGAUGUCCCUAGGCUUAUCCCAUGGUCCUCGAGUACCGCCCGAGGAUCGACUUUGGUUAAACAGCACUUACAGCUUUGCGGAAAUCUCAUGCAGACUGAUGUCAAGAGAUGAACAAAAAGCAGAAAAACUGAAUGAUUGUGCCUCCGUUGAAAGACAACAACACAAAGCCCCGUGACUGACAGGACUGCUCUCUUCUUCCUGUGCACUGCUUCAGCCUCUACUCCUCCAUUCCUCCCUCCUUCAUGUUCCUGUUUGACAGUUGUGGCUCCACCCACUGGCUCUGUAUCAAGUUUGAUGAUUAUAUUCUUCCAAAGCUUUCUCUGCAUGUUGUCUCUAUGACGACGCCUUAGCGUAGAGCGGCCCAUUGGGAUUAUCUGAUAGCAAUCUAGCACAGACAGUAAGCAAAAACUGCACCCCGGCCAGGUGACAGGAGUGAGGGGAAAUGUAGACAUUUUCAAGUUGAAGUCUCACUAGAUUUUAGGUCGUUUAUUAGCCGUUUUUAUCCAAGAGAUUGCACUAGAGGCAAAUCCAGAAGUCUCGCUGUACUGUUGCUGUUACCUUUACAUUCUUUCUCUUUCCUUUUAGUUACUUUUCUCUCACCGCCCACAAUGUCCCUCAUAAAUUCAGCGACUCUUUUUCAUGUCAUCAUUCUCUCUCCCUUUCGUUCGCUCACACAACUCUCGCCUCUUUCCAUCUUCCCUCAUGCUCUCCCAUUUUUCUCCAAUGGUGUUUUUGGCUCUGGACUGAAGUAUUGAUGGAUCUCAUUCAGUUGGAAUUGAAUGAGAGCGCUGUAGAUGUCCCAAAAUAACAGCACUGAAAGGCACUCUGGGUAAGCGAGCUAAGGCCAAAUCUUACAUUCGUCCAAACCAGAUCAUUAUCUUAAUAGAAUUGAUCUAACAAUAACUGAUGCCAGAUAUGCUUAAUGCAGUAAUUCACUGAGAAAUCUCAUCUUUAAAAAAUAGUUGAAUGGGGAAUGACUGAAGUGUGCCAGCUGCAUCUCUCUAAGAGCAGCUUUGGCUCGCAGGCUGUUAGCUGUGAACAUUCAGUUAUUUCCUGUUUAAAAUGAUAUAUUUAAAUGAGAUAAUACAAUCAAAUUCACCUUAACAGAUCGCGUUUGAAUUUUGGUCCCACUUUAUGUUAGGUGACCUUAGCUACUAUGUAGUUCCUUUUAAAUUAAUCAUUUGAUACAAUGCACUUAUUGUGUACAUGUUUUUACGUUGUACUUAUAUUUAAAACAAAUAUUAAUAAUGUCUGAAACCACAUUACACUGUUGACCAAUCACAGACUUUAACCCACCCUUAAACCACCACAAACCAACAAACUUGUCCCUUAACUCAGUGGCAUGUGUGUUUUACUAUACAAUAUAAACGCAAUAAUUAUAUUGUACUUAAAUCAAGAAUUAAGUUAUGGUCACCUAACAUAAAGUGCAUUUGAAAAAUCAGCACAGAGAAUGUUAAUGUUUUACAGUGUAUUUUGAGUGUUGUGUGGGAAAACGAGUGUUUAAGGGACAUGCCAAAAAUAUAUUUGGUUAAUCCUACUUCUGCAAAUUGUAAUAAGUCAAAGUGCUCCUCUAUUACGCAGCAUAUAUCAAGUCAUGGACAUGUUUGUGAGGAGAGAGUUAGAGAUUCAAUCAUCAUGUUUUAGACAUUCUAGCUAAGAGUGUUAUUUGGAGUAUUACUUCAGAUAAGAUCAUAGGUUAACUUUUUAAGUUUGUUUACAUGACAAUGUUAGUCUUUAAUGUAUGUGUAGUAGCGUAUGAUAGGAAAAUUCCAUUUUAAAUCAUGAAUACAUUUAAAUAACUGAACACCAAAAGUUGCCAAACCGAUUUUAUGCACAUUCCCAAAAUACUUUGUGAGAACCAAGGGUUCAAAACAUGGAACUUUGCCAAUCCAGAUUAUAUUUCUAAGAUUAAUUUAAUGUGAUGGUACUCGACGUAGAACAUAGGAUGGUAUUUGACGUAGGAUUACAUUAAUUAUUACGUGAACCUUUGUUUUGGAUCAUCUCAGGGGAUGACAACUGGUGAAAUGAGGGUUUGUUCAAUGUUCUCCACUUCUAAAUUAGAAUCGAGGAAUCAUAAGAGUGGGUUUUAGAAAGUUGCUUUAGUGCUGUAAGUCAAUACAGUUAAUCAAAAUAUGCAUAUAGAAUAAGACUGAAUUUAUUGGCAACGCCGUUUUCAGUGCAUUGUACCCAUGCAUAACAAUAGUGGAAAUAUAUUUGUCCAGAUGUCUUUACGACAAGCUAAACCUUCAUGUUAUACCAACAUGAUCUGUUGUACUGAAUCUUAAAAAUCAUCUGCACUCUCUGUCAGUUCAGUGGAAUUCUUGAUGUUGUUGUUUAGGACAAAGGCCACUGGCUGCUCUCCAAAAUCCAAUUUCCUCCCCACUAACAAAACAUGCAAAUCAAAUAUGAAGUGUCUUUAAGCUCUGAUUAUAAAUACAAUGUAUUUUUGUAUGUUGAAUCACUUAUGUAUAUUUGAACGUAUAAUCAAAAGAUUUUAUGUCAAUGCUUGUCUUUUUCCUAAUAGAUGAUGCUGCUUGGGGUAAUUUAUUCUUUUUUUAUAUGUCCCACCGCCUGCUAUAAGUGUUCCCCUUGUAAAUGUUCGCACUGUACAUGAAAAGCUUCCUAAUGCUGUUCAUGACCUAUUGUUAUUUAAUUAAUGAACAUUAAAAUAUGAAAAAUUGUG